rnacentral:rRNA from 1 species
GUGCCAGCAGCCGCGGUAAGACAGAGGGUGCAAACGUUGUUCGGAAUUACUGGGCGUAAAGCGCGUGUAGGCGGCUUCGUAAGUCGGGUGUGAAAGCCCUGGGCUCAACCCAGGAAGUGCACUCGAUACUACGGAGCUGGAGUCUCGGAGAGGAUAGCGGAAUUCUCGGUGUAGAGGUGAAAUUCGUAGAUAUCGAGAGGAACACCGGUGGCGAAGGCGGCUAUCUGGACGGUGACUGACGCUGAGACGCGAAAGCGUGGGGAGCAAACAGGAUUAGAUACCCUAGUAGUCC